UACGUAGGGGGCGAGCGUUAUCCGGAUUCAUUGGGCGUAAAGCGCGCGCAGGCGGACUCAUAAGCGGAGCCUUUAAUCUUGGGGCUUAACCUCAAGUCGGGCCCCGAACUGUGAGUCUCGAGUGUGGUAGGGGAAGGCGGAAUUCCCGGUGUAGCGGUGGAAUGCGCAGAUAUCGGGAAGAACACCGAUGGCGAAGGCAGCCUUCUGGGCCAUCACUGACGCUGAGGCGCGAAAGCUAGGGGAGCAAACAGG
rnacentral:rRNA from 1 species